rnacentral:tRNA from 1 species
UGGCUGAGUGGUAAAGCACUUGGCUUCCAAACCGGGGACUCGGGUUCGAAUCCUGG